GGGGAUAUGGCGGAAUUGGUAGACGCUACGGACUUUCAAUACCAACAACAAUGCAAAUUGCAGUAGGAAGAAAAUCCGUCGGUUUUUUAGACCGUGAGGGUUCAAGUCCCUCUAUUCCCA
rnacentral:tRNA from 1 species